rnacentral:rRNA from 1 species
AAUAUAUUUAUAUAUUGAUAUCCCUUUGACUUAAGCAUAUCAUUAAAAGGAGGAAAAGAAACUAACUAGGAUUUCUUUAGUAGCGGCGAGUGAACAAGAAUCAACCCUUGAUUGUAAUCCUUAAAUGGAGAUGUAAAUCNUUUAUUCUAUUAUUUAUAUCAUAGAGAAUUUUAAAUUCGUUACUUGAUAGAAUAGAAUNAUUUCUUUGAGUAGGGCNNCUUGGUAGUGCAGUUUGAAUACAGGUAGAAUGAGAUAUCUAAGGUUAAAUAUAAUGGUAUACCGAUAGCAAAUAAGUACUGCGAAGGAAUUUGUGAAAAUGUGUNNNUGUUAGCCUUAUUU